AUAGCUACCAAAAAUAUAACAUUCUUCUCUAUAUCUUGUGUAAUAUUAUUUUACAUUCUCCGGUUAAGUCCGAAGGUGUUUGUUUUUUUGUUACAGCAGCCAAAUGUCAAGAAACGGGCUAAUAACAGGCAUGGGGAUGCGGCUAACGACGACUAGCACACUGAGUCCUUUUGAGCAGCUUGGUCUACACAUGUAUGACAUCUUGGGAGAUGGAGGGAUCCUGAAGGAGGUGGUCCGGUCUGGAGAGGGUCCACCUGUGCCCCUAAAUGCAUCAGUUAUAAUGUAUUACUCCGGAUAUUUGGAGUAUUCUAGUCACCCUUUUGAAAGCACCGCUCACCUGAAGUAUCCGCCGAUGAUGAAGUUGGGAAGGGAUGUGACGCUGGCCGGACUGGAACUGGGGUUGUUGACCAUGAAGAAAGGAGAGUUCUCCCGGUUCCUGUUCGACCCUCAGUACGCGUAUGGAGAAAUGGGCUGUCCUCCUCUCAUCCCAGCUGCCGCUACAGUUCUGUAUGAGGUUCAAAUUGUGGACUACCUCGAUUCGGGUCAAGUGGAUGAGUUUAUUAGCAUGAGUCCGGAGGAGCAGAACAGUGUCCCUCUGGCCACUCUUUUUGAAGUCAUUAACACACUCCGCAGCUUUGGGAACCGCUGCUUCAACCAAAGCCGAUAUGGCCACGCCAAGGAUCGCUAUAAACAGGCAGUAACUCUUCUGAGAAAUAAGAACGAGCAAAGUGAGCUGGAAACGGAGAAGAUGAACGUGGCCCUGCUUCCACUCUAUCUGAACCUUUCUUUCACAGAACUUCGUCUGGAGAGUCCCCAAAAAGCCCUCAAAUAUGGAAAGAAGGCCUUGGAAAUAGACUCUGCCAACACAAAGGCUCUCUUCCGAUGCGGACAGGCCUACUAUGAGCUGGGUGAGUACGAGAGCGCUCAGGAUUGCCUCAUGGCUGCUCAGUCCAAAAAGCCGUUAGACAGCAACAUCAACAACCUUCUGAAGAAAGUAGCGUUGGCCUUUAAAGACAGCUUGGAUAAAGAAAAAGACAUGUGCUUGAAGAUGUUUAGUAAGCUAAGGAGCCCAGUACAGACUUAACCAACCUCUGAUUGUGGUGAGGAAUCCUGUUUGUCUUUCCGCUUUGAAAGGUCUCAAGAUUUGACAUCUUGGUCCUUGCCUACUGCCCCUAUCUUCCACCAGUGAAAGUUGUUUCUAUUCAUUUCCCGCUUGUUAUGCUUUGAUCUUUCUGAUCUUUGCUUUAAAUUCUUGUUUGUACUUCUGUUAAAAAAAAAAAAAGUUAAUCUCUCUUUAUCUGUUCUCAAAUCACACCUGAGGGUUCUCAUCGUUCUUCCUUUUAAGGGAAAUACUCAGAUUUCAUUUUCAGUUCUUGAAAUGCUAAUUAAGGAAUGUAAUUCAGGUCUCUAAAAAAUAAAUUUAAGCAAGACAA